ensembl:lncRNA
GAGGAUGCCCAGUGGUAGCAGUGCCGAGAUGAUGACAUGGCGAUGUGACCCCGAUACGGCCAGGGCAGUUUCUGCGAGAGGCGUCGGGGAGUCGCUCUCCUUCCAGGCUCAGAGGCAGGCAGGCAUUGGUAUUUUUCUUCCUGCUCCUCCACUCUGUCUUCACACUCCAGUGGACACUCUGAAGAGGACAUGGAGCUAAAGUGUCAGUCUCUCCCUCUCUCCCUGUGCUCUGUCGCUCUCUCUCACCCCAAGGUGCAGCGUGCUCAUCUUCCUAAACCCAGUAGAAGCUUUCAGCCAACGAUAUGCACACCAACCCAAACCUGUUACAACCUGAAGCCACAAACACCAGAAAAACGUCUGGUUCAGACGUCCGCGGCAUCAGGACCAAAGAGGCUCCGACUCACAGGAUUACCAUACAAAUGCAGAACCCCAGCGGCACCAACAGCUUUUUUAAGCCUAACAAAUCUACAAGACACCCGGUACCCGCUAAGUCCUACAGCGGAGGAACACACCGCCUCUGAUCCACACAAUCCCAUCUCACUCAGGGUCCCGACACUUUCAUGUACUGAGCAAAAAAAAAAAAAAAAAAAAACCACGGCCCCUCACUGGGGAGAGCUUUGUGGUGCACCCAGGUAUACUGCUGCUGCCAGGACAUGAAACGCAUGUUUCAUGUGUGUGUGUGUGUGUGUGUGUGUCUGUGUGUAGCAUGCCUGAAUGGCUGUAACCAUACAAUGGAAAAAAAGUAGCACAGUUAAUAUUGCUCUCUUUCUAAAAGACUAAAUUAUUGAAGAUUUCAGCGAGAGAUGCACAAAAGUGCCACACCUCAUAUGGUCGACACAGACCCACAAAGAACCAACGUCUGCAGCUCCUGCCUUCCAGCUUGUUUUGUUUUUUCCUGGACAUUUAAGAGCAUAAGAUCCCUCUCCCUGCUUCGUCUGUGCAGCAACUCUUGACGCCCCAAACCACCACCCCCCCUCCACAAACUCCCCCAUCCAUCCUGCUCACCUCUGGGCUGCUGGGAGACUUAUCAAAAGUGUCCCAGCCUCCGUGAAAAGAUGGCACGUCUGAUUCGCCCUGAUAAAAUAAGAACCAUGUUAGUGCUUGUGGGGCACCCGUGGUGCAUCGAUCACUGAGGGGUGGGAGAGAAAAGGAGCGGGCAGGGGAGGAAAAUUGGAUGACGGGCGCGGCGGAUGAGAAAUAAGGAUUUUUGUGCUCAUUUCCACAGAGAGGCAGGAGCCGUCAGAAUCACUGAAUAACCAAAGAGAAGCGAUUCAUUUUCCUCAGAUGAGCACUAUCCUGCCACCCCUUGUGCUCCCCCAUAAUUUCUCUCAAUCUCUCUCACCCCCUGUGUGUCUGAUGAUUUAUGUGCAGCUCACAGCUCAGUUAAACACGGCAGCAUGAAACACAUGCAUGCACGCGCACACUCGCAAAUACACACACACGGCUCCUUGUCAGGUAAUAACAACCUAACACAUCCACCGUGAAUGUGUAACUGCGCCUGUGUAUCUUUAAACCUAACAUCCAUGAAAAAAAAUAAUAAAAUAUGAGCACCAGGAAAUGUCCCUGCUUUU